UACGAAGGGUGCAAGCGUUACUCGGAAUUACUGGGCGUAAAGCGUGCGUAGGUGGUUUGUUAAGUCUGAUGUGAAAGCCCUGGGCUCAACCUGGGAAUUGCAUUGGAUACUGGCAGGCUAGAGUGCGGUAGAGGAUGGCGGAACUCCGGGUGUAGCGGUGAAAUGCGUAGAUAUCCGGAAGAACACCGAUGGCGAAGGCAACCACCUGGGCCUGUACUGACGCUGAGGUACGAAAGCGUGGGGAGCAAACAGGG
rnacentral:rRNA from 1 species